rnacentral:rRNA from 1 species
GACGAACCGAGCGAACGUUUUUUUUUGUUCGGAAUCACUGGGCUUAAAGGGCGCGUAGGCGGGCUGCCAAGUCCGGGUGAAAGCCUCCGGCUCAACCGGAGAACGGCCUCGGAUACUGGCGGCCUGGAGGCGGGUAGGGGCGUGCGGAACUGUGGGUGGAGCGGUGAAAUGCGUUGAGAUCCACAGGAACUCCGGUGGCGAAGGCGGCACGUGGACCCGAACUGACGCUGAGGCGCGAAAGCCAGGGAGCAAACGGG